GCUCAGUUGGUUAAAUGCCUGACUUCGGCUCAGGGGAUGAUCUCACGGUUUGUGGGUUCGAGCCCCGCACUGGGCU
rnacentral:tRNA from 1 species